UACGGAGGGUGCAAGCGUUGUCCGGAAUCACUGGGCGUAAAGGGUGCGUAGGCGGGUCUUUUAAGUCAGGGGUGAAAUCCUGGAGCUCAACUCCAGAACUGCCUUUGAUACUGAGGAUCUUGAGUUCGGGAGAGGUGAGUGGAACUGCGAGUGUAGAGGUGAAAUUCGUAGAUAUUCGCAAGAACACCAGUGGCGAAGGCGGCUCACUGGCCCGAUACUGACGCUGAGGCACGAAAGCGUGGGGAGCAAACAGG
rnacentral:rRNA from 1 species